rnacentral:lncRNA from 1 species
GUGGUUUGUUGUCGAGCCUGCAACUUUUGUUGCAGAAAGCUCGACAUAGGGAUAGUGAUCCUUUCGGCGGCGGCGGCGUUAGCUAACUUCUUAAAAGCUUUAUAUUUUAGAAGGUGGAAGACCUGGAUGCUUCAUACUUUGUAUAUAGAUGCCUCAUGUUACGAAGUUUCCGUCAGUCACAUGUCCAAUGACCUUGACCUCAUUUUCAUGGUUCAGUGUCCACAUUGAAAAAAAGUUCAGAUUUUUUGUAAUGUUGAAUUCUCUCUUAUUAUAAGUAAUAGGAUAACUAUAUUUGAUAUGUGCGUACCUUGCAAGGUCCUCAUGUCUGUCAGACAGUUUUCAUUUGACCUCGACCUAAUUUCAUGGAUCAGUGAACAAGGUUAAGUUUUGGUGGUCAAGUCCAUAUCUCAGAUACUAUAAGCAAUAGGGCUAGUAUAUUCGGUGUAUGGAAGGACUGUAAGGUGUACAUGUCCAACUGGCAGG